UGUAAGCGUAUACCAAAGUUGUUGCGGUUAAAGCGCUCGUAGUCGGAAUUUGGCAGUUCCGGAUGUGUGCACGUCGUGUGCGCACUUCGCGGGGAUUGCUUUUGUGGUCUUGCGUAGGAUGAGGCACUUUUAUUAGUGAACGUCCUCACGCAACCACUUUUUACUGUGAGAAAAUCAGAGUGCUCAAAGCAGGCAUUUGCCGUGAAUGUAUUAGCAUGGAAUAAUAGAAUAGGACUUGGUUCUAUUUUGUUGGUUUGUUGGGACUGAGUAAUGAUUAAGAGGGACAGUUGGGGGCAUUUGUAUUUCGGUGCUAGAGGUGAAAUUCUUAGAUUACCGAAAGACAAACUGCUGCGAAAGCGUCUGCCAAGGAUGUUUUCAUUGA
rnacentral:rRNA from 1 species